AAUUUUUUUUCCUGGCCUUCUGUUUCCUUGACUGUUGGAAUUGAAUUUGCUUCAAAUGUGAUAUUGGUAUUCUUUGAUUUAGUUCAAAGUUACAGUUUCAAUGUCUCACAUUACAUCGGUUAUAUGAGGAAUUUCAUAUCGGUAGAUAAGCCCUUAGGCUUUGUCUCCAUAAUGACUAGGCCCUUAGGCUUUGUCUCCAUAAUGACUAG
rnacentral:misc_RNA from 1 species